rnacentral:rRNA from 1 species
GUUGAACGCUGGCGGUAGGCCUAACACAUGCAAGUCGAACGCGAAAGUCCUUCGGGAUGAGUAGAGUGGCGGACGGGUGAGUAACGCGUAGGAAUCUAUCCUGUAGUGGGGGAUAACGUUUCGAAAGGAACGCUAAUACCGCAUACGCCCCAAGGGGGAAAGCGGGGGGUCUCCGGACCUCGUGCUAUCGGAGGAGCCUGCGUCGGAUUAGUUAGUUGGUGAGGUAAAGGCUCACCAAGGCAACGAUCCGUAGCUGGUCUGAGAGGAUGAUCAGCCACACCGGAAAGGAGACACGGUCCGGACUCCUACGGGAGGCAGCAGUGGGGAAUAUUGCGCAAUGGGCGAAAGCCUGACGCAGCCAUACCGCGUGUGUGAAGAAGGCCUUCGGGUUGUAAAGCACUUUCAGUGGGGAGGAAAAGCUGGUGGCUAAUAUCCAUCGGCCGUGACGCUACCCACAGAAGAAGCACCGGCUAAUUCCGUGCCAGCCGCCGCCGUAA